GUCCACACCGUAAACGUUGGGCGCUAGGUGUGGGACUCAUUCCACGAGUUCCGUGCCGCAGCUAACGCAUUAAGCGCCCCGCCUGGGGAGGUACGGCCGCAAGGCUAAAACUACAAAGGAAUUGACGGGGGCCCGGCACAAGCGGCGGAGCAUGCGGAUUAAUUCGAUGCAACGCGAAUAACCUUACCUAGGUUUGACAUAUACGAGAAGCCUCUGGAGACAGAGGUCUCUUUGGACACUUGUAUACAGGUGGUGCAUGGCUGUCGU
rnacentral:rRNA from 1 species